rnacentral:rRNA from 1 species
GACGAACGCUGGCGGCGUGCUUAACACAUGCAAGUCGAACGAAGUGGCGAACGGGUGAGUAACGCGUAAUCAACCUGCCCUUCAGAGGGGGACAACAGUUGGAAACGACUGCUAAUACCGCAUACUGAAGGAGGGGAUUGCGUCUGAUUAGCUAGUUGGGGGGGUAACGGCCCACCAAGGCGAUGAUCAGUAGACGGUCUGAGGGGAUGAACGGGCAAAUUGGGAAUGAGACACGGCCCAGACUCCUACGGGAGGCAGGAGGGGGGAAUCUUCCGCAAUGGAGGAAAGUCUGACGGAGCAACGGCGCGUGAGUGAUGACGGCCUUCGGGUUGUAAAGCUCUGUUAAGCGGGACGCGGUACCGGAAUAGAAAGCCACGGCUAACUACGUGCCAGCAGCCGCGGUAAUAC